CAGCCGCCGCGGUAAUACCGGCGGCCCGAGUGGCGGUCACUCUUAUUGGGCUUAAAACGUCCGUAGCCGGGGUGGGAAGUCCUCCGGGAAAUCUGGCCGCUUAACGGGCAGAAUGCCGGAGGAUACUCCCAGCCUAGGGAGCGGGAGAGGCCGAGGGUAUUCCCGGAGUAGGGGGGAAAACCUAUAAUCCCGGGAGGACCACCUGUGGCGAAGGCGCUCGGCUGGAACGCGUCCGACGGUGAGGGACGAAGGCCAGGGGAGCAAACCGGAUUAGAUACCCGGGUAGUCCUGGCUGUAAACGGUGGGCACUAGGUGUGGGGGGUUAAUCCCUCCGUGCCGAAGCUAACGCAUUAAGUGCCCCGCCUGGGGAGUACGGCCGCAAGGUUGAAACUUAAAGGAAUUGGCGGG
rnacentral:rRNA from 1 species